rnacentral:rRNA from 1 species
AGAGACAGCAGUCGCCGCGGUAAUACGUAGGGGGCAAGCGUUAUCCGGAUUUACUGGGUGUAAAGGGAGCGCAGACGGCAGUGCAAGUCUGAAGUGAAAGGCGUGGGCUCAACCCAUGAACUGCUUUGGAAACUGUAUAGCUUGAGUGUCGGAGGGGUAAGCGGAAUUCCUAGUGUAGCGGUGAAAUGCGUAGAUAUUAGGAGGAACACCGGAGGCGAAGGCGGCUUACUGGACGACAACUGACGUUGAGGCUCGAAGGCGUGGGGAGCAAACAGGAUUAGAUACCCGAGUAGUCCCUGUCUCUUAUAC